AUAAUAUGAUAAUUUAGUCGAGUCUCUCUGUCAAGUGGUCAGGUUAGUCAGCCAAAGUCAGGUUUGAUUAUUUGGUAGUUAGAUUCGUAGGUACGAUUAUGUUAAUGAUUGGACCUAACCAGAGCUUGCUGAGAAGAUCAAAAUUAAUUGAAAAGUUACCUGGGGCUAUUGAUUACUAGAAAUUAUUUGAUGAAACAAUUGGUUAAGAACCUACCCAUAGAUGUAUAUGGGUG
rnacentral:lncRNA from 1 species